AUGGUCCCCGCAGGCCACCACCUCCUCCUUCUCGCGCUCGCUUCCCUCGGGGGCGCAGCGGCAGCCGGCGCCGACGAGGGGUUCUGCUCGGCGGAACCGUCCAACGAUUGCUCCCAGUCGCCGCCGCUCUACUCGAAGGUCACCAGUCCCACUCUCGCACCGGUGCAUUUGCAAGAUUUACCUGGCUUCACACGUAGUGUGUACAAAAAGGAUCAUGCUUUAAUAACACCAGAAAGCCAUGUAUUCAGUCCUUUGCCUGAUUGGACCAACACGUUAGGAGCAUAUUUGAUUAGCCCAGCUCUUGGCGCACACUUCACUAUGUACUUGGCAAACAUGCAAGAUGGAUCAAAAUCAGCCUUACCACCUAAAGAUGUUGAAAGGCUUAUCUUUGUAGUUCAAGGCAGCAUUGCAUUGUCUGUGGAGAGCGGAACAACCCACUCCCUGUUGGUAGACUCUUAUGCUUAUCUUCCUGCAAACAUGAAGCACUCUGUGAUAUCAGAUAAACCAACCACUCUUGUAAUCUUUGAGAGGAGGUACACAACCAUUGGGGAUUACCAUGCUGAUCUAGUUGUUGGUUCAACAGAUAAGCAACCCCUCCUUGAAACCCCAGGAGAGGUAUUUGAGCUGAGGAAGCUGCUACCCACUUCUCUACCUUAUGACUUUAAUAUUCAUAUAAUGGACUUUCAGUCAGGCGAGUAUCUCAAUGUGAAGGAGGUUCAUUACAAUCAACAUGGGCUGCUGCUUUUAGAGGGACAAGGAAUAUAUCGAUUGGGAAAUAGCUGGUAUCCGGUGCAAGCAGGCGAUACCAUUUGGAUGGCGCCAUUUGUGCCUCAAUGGUAUGCUGCCCUUGGUAAAACCAAGUCUAGGUACCUGCUGUACAAAGAUGUCAAUAGGAAUCCACUGAUAUGA
rnacentral:rRNA from 1 species